UUAUCGAUUAUUCCGUCGAAUAUUCUCGACUGUGAUUGGUCGAUUUGUUCGCUACUGGCGGCGACAUGCGACCAAUGUAGAACGGGCUUUAGACGACGCAUUCGUUAUGUAUCUAGAUACACAAUACGGGUCAAACUAAACAUUUACGGAAGAUUUAUUAAUUAUAUCAACUAUUCGUACGCGAAUGCGACGAAGCGAGAAAAACGCAUCGACGAGGUGGUGUGCUGCGGCGGCACUUGAACAAUCUAAUAAGCGACGUAAGACUGAAAGACAUCGUAGUAAACAAAAUAUCAAAACAUCAUUGAAACAUCUCGAGAAAAGUCUUCGGAGGGAUGCAGCACGUGGAAACCCCAAUUGUUACAAAUCAGAAAAAGGAUACGCGAGGAAGUGUGCUAGCGCAAAAGAGUGUGUACAGUGUUGGCAGUUGUCAUUUGUCUGUGCCUCUAUCAUGCCUAUUUGUAUCGCGACCCUUGCAAAGUGACGUAAACAUUCGGAAUAUUCUGUCUGUUGUAACUAGUUAUAGAUGAAAGAGAAACUUGCUUCCACAAUGAUGAGAUGAAAACAAAAGGAAAACAUGGAAGACGAAUAAUCCUAUAUACCGCAGAUCCUGAAAAACAGGGAACUCUGGAAAGUGAAUAUAUAUUCCCCACCCAAUGGACGCUGAACAAACGUGGCCCACGGAGAAAGAAUCGGCUGAAGCACAGCGGCCAAUAGAAAGAGAAAAAUUGUCAAAGCUGGAACCAAAAGCAACUUCUGAAUACGAAUGAAGCUCACUUCUCCCAAAUCCCUGCGUAGGGAUUCUUCCAACGUAGAAUAGAAUUUUUCGUAUCUUUCGAUGUUCCUUUUCCUGUCCUGAUCUGAUUUCGAGUAAUGUAAAGUAGUGGGUGUACGUGUGUGUGUGUGUGCGUGCGUGCGUGCGUGCGUGUGCGUGCGUGUGUUUUCUCAUACUCUACGAAGAAACCAUACCUGUUACGCACAUGUGGGUAAUAUCUCUUAGUUAGUUUCGGAGAAGGAUGUAAUGUCGAUGUUGUCUGGGACCACCAGCAGCUCGUCGUGACACCAGGGAGGAUCGCGUUCGAGAACAUGACUCGUCGUGUGCACACAAGCGUCGUUCUAUCUUUGUUCAACUUUCAGUAAAUAACAAAGAUAGAACGACGCUCGGUGCAGACGGGGGUGAUGUUCUCGAACGCAGCCCAGCAGUUGCAAAUUGUAGGCCAGUGGGCAAUAACUUAACGUUAGGACGACAUCUCUAUUUAUUAAAUCCUGAAAAUAUAAAUUCGACAUCAUUGUGUGUAUGUGUUUUCUCAUAAACUACGAAGAAACCAUACCUUUUACGCACAUGUGGGUAAUAUCUCUUAGGCCCAGUUCCACAACUUACUUUAACCCAAGUUUAACUCGUUAAUGGAAAAUUCACAUUACGUCCGAUGUACAAAUGUAUCCCCAAUCGUAUCCAGUCGUACAUUGUACAUCGGAUGCGCAAUGUGAAUAUCCUCCAUUAACGAGUUAAACUCCGGUUGGUAAGAGUAAGUUGUGGAAUCGGGCCUUAGUUAGUUUCAGAGAAGGAUAGUAAUCGAUGUUGUCUGGUUAGGCUCCGCCACCAGCAGUGUAGUAAAACUUAUUGUUAGAAAAUAUACAAAAGAAAAAAAAAA